rnacentral:rRNA from 1 species
AGAGUUUGAUCCUGGCUCAGGACGAACGCUGGCGGCGUGCUUAACACAUGCAAGUCGAACGAGGUUCAUCCUUCGGGAGAAGACCUAGUGGCGAACGGGUGCGUAACACGUGAGCAACCCGCCCCGAAGACCGGGAUAACAGCGGGAAACCGCUGCUAAUACCGGAUACCCCCACCAGAUCGCAUGGUCAGGUGAGGAAAUGGAUUCUGCUUCGGGAGGGGCUCGCGGCCUAUCAGCUUGUUGGCGGGGUAACGGCCCACCAAGGCAACGACGGGUAGCUGGUCUGAGAGGACGAUCAGCCACACUGGGACUGAGACACGGCCCAGACUCCUACGGGAGGCAGCAGUGGGGAAUCUUGCGCAAUGGGCGAAAGCCUGACGCAGCAACGCCGCGUGAGGGACGACGGCCUUCGGGUUGUAAACCUCUUUCAAGCAGGGACGAUGAUGACGGUACCUGCAGAAGAAGCUCCGGCCAACUACGUGCCAGCAGCCGCGGUAAUACGUAGGGAGUAAGCGUUGUCCGGAAUCAUUGGGCGUAAAGAGCUCGUAGGCGGUUUGGUAAGUCGGAUGUGAAACCCCCAGGCUCAACCUGGGGCAGCCAUCCGAUACUGCCAUGACUUGAGUCCGGUAGGGGCCCACGGAACUCCUGGUGUAGCGGUGAAAUGCGCAGAUAUCGGGAAGAACACCGGUGGCGAAGGCGGUGGGCUGGGCCGGUACUGACGCUGAGGAGCGAAAGCGUGGGGAGCGAACAGGGUUAGAUACCCUGGUAGUCU